AUGGUUACAGUGACGCUUGGAUACUAGCCAAGAAGCAGUGUACAACGCAACAUCUUGUGAAGACCAUGGACCAAGGUGGGGUGCGAAUGAUCGGACUGCAGGAAUGUGGGCGACCUCAAACGGCCCAACGGCUCGGAGACGUUCCUGCUGAUCCCGAAGGCAUGGUGGGCGUAAAACUGGUCGGACGGAGAAACUUUGCUCCUCUUGAAAAGGUUGUAGUGGUGGGGAGGGACAGUAUUCGCCAACUGAGAUGUCGUAGUGCUUUAUCAUGUCCCCCAGCUGUUGUAAUCACUUCAGCCCACUUGGCGGCCAUUAAAGCUGCUGCCCAACAGGCGGGUGGAGAAGUCUCCCUUCGCAGAGCAAAAGAAUCCCAAAAGGUCGCUGUGCAGUCCUUAAAGGAGAGAGAAGAGCGGCAGCGCCACCACAAGCAUCUAGAGAAAGAACAUUGCCGAAGGAGACACCAAACAGAGUUGCAAAGAUUAGAUGACAUGCUGGAGGAUUCAUCUAGAAGAAAUGGAGAAAGUUCGGAGAUUAAACCUUUUCAGCGUGAAAAUCUAUAAUCCGAAGAGGAGGUAAAAGCAAUGCGAAAACUAGUUCUGGCUGCAAAAUGUCACGCCAUACGGGAAGCGCAGAUUUUAGAGAAGAGGCA